rnacentral:rRNA from 1 species
UAGGGAAUAUUGCGCAAUGGGCGCAAGCCUGACGCAGCGACGCCGCGUGCGGGACGAAGCUCUUCGGAGUGUAAACCGCUUUUCUGUGAGACGAACCCUGACGGUAUCACAGGAAUAAGCACCGGCUAACUCCGUGCCAGCAGCUGCGGUAAUACGGAGGGUGCAAACGUUGUUCGGAUUUACUGGGCGUAAAGGGUCCGUAGGCGGCCCGGCAAAUCGGUUGUGGAAUCCCGACGCUCACCGUCGGAAGUGCUGCCGAAAAUACCGGGCUAGAGUCCGUGAGGGGCAAGUGGAACUCAUGGUGGAGCGGUGAAAUGCGUAGAUAUCAUGAGGAACGCCGGAGGCGAAAGCGACUUGCUGGCGCGGUACUGACGCUGAGGGACGAAAGCUAGGGGAGCAAACAGGAUUAGAUACCCCCGUAGUCC